UUACUGCUUAGACGUGCAAUCCAAUCGCACGCUUCGCCUAUCCUACUGCGUCCCCCCAUCGAUUAAAACGAUUAUAGGUGGUACAGGAAUAUCAACCUGUUAUCCAUCGCCUACGCCUGUCGGCUCAUCGCAUCCUGGGGCUGUAGUCGGUCCCAAGGGUUGGGCUGUUCGCCCAUUAAAGCGGUACGCGAGCUGGGUUCAGAACGUCGUGAGACAGUUCGGUCCCUAUCCGUCGUGGGCGUAG
rnacentral:rRNA from 1 species